UACGUAGGGGGCAAGCGUUGUCCGGAUUUACUGGGCGUAAAGAGCGUGUAGGCGGCCACGCAGGUCCGUUGUGAAAACUGGAGGCUCAACCUCCAGCUGUCGACGGAAACCGUAUGGCUAGAGUCCGGAAGAGGAGAGUGGAAUUCCUGGUGUAGCGGUGAAAUGCGCAGAUAUCAGGAGGAACACCGGUGGCGAAGGCGGGUCUCUGGGCAACAACGUGACGCUGAGGAGCGAAAGCGUGGGGAGCGAACGGG
rnacentral:rRNA from 1 species